rnacentral:rRNA from 1 species
GACGAACGCUGGCGGCGUGCUUAACACAUGCAAGUCGAACGGAAAGGCCCUGCUUUUGUGGGGUGCUCGAGUGGCGAACGGGUGAGUAACACGUGAGUAACCUGCCCUUGACUUUGGGAUAACUUCAGGAAACUGGGGCUAAUACCGGAUAGGAGCCCCUGCUGCAUGGUGGGGGUUGGAAAGUUUCGGCGGUUGGGGAUGGACUCGCGGCUUAUCAGCUUGUUGGUGGGGUAGUGGCUUACCAAGGCUUUGACGGGUAGCCGGCCUGAGAGGGUGACCGGCCACAUUGGGACUGAGAUACGGCCCAGACUCCUACGGGAGGCAGCAGUGGGGAAUAUUGCACAAUGGGCGGAAGCCUGAUGCAGCAACGCCGCGUGAGGGAUGACGGCCUUCGGGUUGUAAACCGCUUUCGCCUGUGACGAAGCGUGAGUGACGGUAAUGGGUAAAGAAGCACCGGCUAACUACGUG